CGCGAAAGUUCACCAUUGGCAGCAGGUUGCACAGUGCAUGCAGCUAGGUGUCAACUGUCUCUACAACGAAGUGCAUCGAUCAUGGAUCACAUUGGUGGAGAACUUUGUGUGAACUUGAAGAUAUGAGCCAUCCGACCUAUCCUCCAACACGGAUCACAAUGAUGGAGAAAAGGUUGAAAUCCAUCAUCACAGCUUCCAGGACACAGAAGAAUAACAUGUGAUCCCUUGUUGCCAGUGGGAAAAAUAGUUCUGUUGAACACUAAGAUGAGACGCCAUGCUAUCUGGCUCUCCUGCACCCUCUCCACUGUCCCUCAAGACUGAUGGGUGAAGAAUAAACAUGAGAGUAUAAGUUUCAUGCCUGGGUGGCAUAUGUUAGGCUGCAUACCGUGGCAGAGUGACGAACUGGAGCUCCUCUGAGGCUGCCCGCCCUGGACAGGAGCUACAGGCCCACUCCAGCUCUGUUGUCU